GAUGAACGCUGGCGGCGUGCCUAAUACAUGCAAGUCAAGCGAACAGACGAGGAGCUUGCUCCUCUGACGUUAGCGGCGGACGGGUGAGUAACACGUGGAUAACCUACCUAUAAGACUGGGAUAACUUCGGGAAACCGGAGCUAAUACCGGAUAAUAUAUUGAACCGCAUGGUUCAAUAGUGAAAGACGGUUUUGCUGUCACUUAUAGAUGGAUCCGCGCCGCAUUAGCUAGUUGGUAAGGUAACGGCUUACCAAGGCAACGAUGCGUAGCCGACCUGAGAGGGUGAUCGGGCACACCGGAACUGAGAAACGGUCCAGACUCCUACGGGAGGGAGCAGUAGGGAAUCUUCCGCAAUGGGCGAAAGCCUGACGGAGCCACGCCGCGUUAGUGAUGAAGGUCUUCGGAUUGUAAAACUCUGUUAUUAGGGAAGAACAAAUGUGUAAGUAACUAUGCACGUCUUGACGGUACCUAAUCAGAAAGCCACGGCUAACUACGUG
rnacentral:rRNA from 1 species